GACGAACGCUGGCGGCGUGCUUAACACAUGCAAGUCGAACGGAGUGGCGACCGGGUGAGUCUUACGUGAGUCACCUUCCCUCAACUGUGGGAUCAGCCUGGGAAACUGGGUCUAAUACUGCCUAGUUGGGGAUGGGCUCGCGGCCUAUCAGCUUGUUGGUGGGGUGAUGGCCUACCAAGGCGGUGACGGGUAGCCGGCCUGAGAGGGUGGUCGGACAAAUUGUGACUGAGAUACGGCCCAGAAGCCUGAGGGAGGCAGCAGUGGGGGAUAUUGCACAAUGGGCGCAAGCCUGAUGCAGCGACGCCGCGUGAGGGAUGAAGGCUUUCGGGUUGUAAACCGCUUUCGGUACAGAACGGGUAUGUGCAGAAGAAGGGCCGGCUAACUACGUGCCAGCAGCCGCGGUAAUAC
rnacentral:rRNA from 1 species